rnacentral:rRNA from 1 species
CAGUAGCCACGGUAAUACGGAGGGAGCUAGCGUUAAUCGGAAUUACUGGGCGUAAAGCGUGCGCAGGCGGUUUUGUAAGACAGGCGUGAAAUCCCCGGGCUUAACCUGGGAAUGGCGCUUGUGACUGCAAGGCUAGAGUGCGUCAGAGGGGGGUAGAAUUCCACGUGUAGCAGUGAAAUGCGUAGAGAUGUGGAGGAAUACCGAUGGCGAAGGCAGCCCCCUGGGACGAGACUGACGCUCAUGCACGAAAGCGUGGGGAGCAAACAGGAUUAGAUACCCGCGUAGUCCCUGUCUCUUAACC